rnacentral:rRNA from 1 species
GACGAACGCUGGCGGCGUGCCUAAUACAUGCAAGUCGAGCGCGGGAAGCUUGCGGAAUCUUUCGGGAGGAAGUGAGCGGACCGAGCGGCGGACGGGUGAGUAACACGUGGGCAACCUGCCCGUAAGACGGGGAUAACCCCGGGAAACCGGGGCUAAUACCGGAUAGGUGACCUUUCUGCAUGGAGGGGUCAUGAAAGGCGGCGGAAGCCGUCGCUUACGGAGGGGCCCGCGGCGCAUUAGCUAGUUGGUGAGGGAAGGGCUCACCAAGGCGACGAUGCGUAGCCGGCCUGAGAGGGUGAACGGCCACACUGGGACUGAGACACGGCCCAGACUCCUACGGGAGGCAGCAGUAGGGAAUCUUCCGCAAUGGACGGAAGUCUGACGGAGCAACGCCGCGUGAGUGAGGAAGGCCUUCGGGUCGUAAAGCUCUGUUGUUCGUGAAGAAGGGGUUGGCCAGGAAAUGGGCCGACAUUGACGGUAGCGAACCAGAAAGCCCCGGCUAACUACGCGCCAGCAGCCGCGGUAACACGUAGGGGGCAAGCGUUGUCCGGAAUGAUUGGGCGUAAAGGGCGCGCAGGCGGCCUCUUAAGUCUGAUGUGAAAGCCCACGGCUCAACCGUGGAGGGACAUUGGAAACUGGGGGGCUUGAGUGCAGGAGAGGGGAGUGGAAUUCCACGUGUAGCGGUGAAAUGCGUAGAGAUGUGGAGGAACACCAGUGGCGAAGGCGGCUCUCUGGCCUGUGACUGACGCUGAGGCGCGAAAGCGUGGGGAGCGAACAGGAUUAGAUACCCUGGUAGUCCACGCC